GGAGUAAAAAUUUCUUCACAGAUGUGCUGAUGGCUGGACAUUGCAUCAUCGUAGAAAACUUGGAGGCCAGUUUGGAAAAAAAUUAAAAGUUAUAAGACUUUUAACACUGUGGAUUUUUGGGUUAUCUUUGGCGCCCCCUAGAACCUAAACUGUGGGGUGCAGCAAGAUGAUUUGUACAACUUUGAAUGGCCAUGGGGGUUAGAUUGGCCUGCGCAAAUGUGGUGCCGGUGGAACGAAAGCCUUCGGAGGAGUUAGCGAAAUUCCAAUGUGUGCAGAUCUGCAAAAAAUGCGAAAUAACCCUUUAACCGUACAUUUGACAGAUACGCCCGCACUGACUUUUUUGUAGAUCUUAUUGAGAUACAUGUGUGUGUCAAUUUUUGUGUCAUUUUGACAAAGCGUACAGCCGUCAUGUGAAUUUUCACCUUAGGGGGCGCUAUUGAGCCAUUUUGCAUUUUAUUGUUUGGGCGACUUCAGAAUAUCGAAUUUUUCACCAGGCCCGGUCGUCCUGCCAAAUUUCAUGAGUUUUCGCCAGUGGGAAGUGGGCCAUUUUCCAGUUUAAAGCGGAGGAAAAAUAAUAACGAAAGAAGGAAACAUGCAGGAACAAGAGGGCUCUCGCAGCUGCUUAGCAGCUACGCUCGGGCCCUAACUAGGGCCCCGUUGGGGCACUGGCGGGCCCGAGCCGUGUCGCACCCCCCCCCCCAACGCGCUGCCUCCCCGUCCCAUUCGUGUCCUCUGGCCAUCGCCCUCUCUGGUAACGCCCAUCACUGCAAAGACCCUUUUCCUUCAUCGGCGUUUGCUGUUCUUCCUGCCAGUGCGUGUUGCUUUCACUUACACUUGCCACAGCCAGCCUCGUGAGUGCCUAGCCUAUUGGAUAUCACUGUCACCUACACAGGACAGUCAUACUUUGUUUUUUAAUUUCACAUUAAUUUCCAUAUUGUAUAAACGACUGGAAAAAACUUGAGCCCCUGCCCCUGUAUUAUCAUGUGCACGUCCCUGUUCUAGCUCCAAGGUGAAUCUUCAGUGCUCAUGUUCUCCUCAGAAGCAGUCACCUCACUCCCCUCAGGUUACUGUACACAUGCACCAACUGCCUGCUUCAGGUUUGGAUGGAGCUUCAUGGUUGUCUUUUGGAGAAAUGACCAGUCAAGUUGUGUUUGAAAUCUGAUUUUUUUCAGGGGCAAAAGGAAGCCUCCGCAUUCUUGUCAAAUAUGUAAAUAGCAUGUUUUUGCAGGUGCUAAAAAACAGACUCUGAGUGUGUGUGUGUGUGUGUGUGUGUGUGCGUGUGUGUGUGUGUGUGUCUGUGUGUGUGUGUGUGUGUGUAUCCUGCAGUACUCUGAGAAGAAUAAUAAGCAUAUUUCUGAGGUGAAUUUUGAAGAUUCAUCUGAGAGUUAGGUUUGAUUCGAUUCGAUUGACGCUCCCCAGCGUUCAAGUCACAUGACAUAUUUAACCGGAUGUAGCUGCAAGACGGAGCCUCGUUAACUCUCCGUUUCAACUUAUCUCAAAAGUGAGGACCUCAACCUAUAUACCAGUUUUUAAAUUGUGUUGAUAGGCCAAAUAAAACCAGAGUUAUGAUAAAUUAUGUCCGCGAUACUUUUUUUCUGCUUAUUUUGAUCACGUUCGGCGCUCGAUCGUGCUGUAUGAGACAGGAAAACAUUGCAUGCACACAUUAGUGACAGGUCAUACAGGCGGAAAAGGCUUGCCAAAAGAAAAAAAAAACACACCACAACAUCUCUCCUAUUGGUGGAAAACUUCACCACAACAACCAAUCCAAAAUUAUAUGGUGACUGAUUGACAAGGGGCGGGCGCUUACGUUCUUCCUGCAACAUGAGAAGGGAGGGAGGGACUCUCAGCAGGGAUGCAGUCUGGGACACGUAGUUGCAAACCUAGCGACUUUGUUGUUAGAUUCAAUGACUUUUCAGACCCCCUAACGACUUUUUUUUAGAAAGAAAGGGACUUUUAUCGACUUCUUCUGGAGUUUAGAGACUCUGACAUGAAGCAGGCUUUCCUUACUGAGGAGUUAGCAACGCUGCUAAGGGUGCAGAGCCACACAUGCGCUCCGAGCUCUGCAUGGGAGACAGAAGCUGACAGAGCUGCAGCAGUUAGCAGGUUUCACCCUCAGAGACCACCAGGGGUUCAUGUUGAGGCAUUUUCAGUUUUUUUUUUUUUUUGCCAUAGACAGUCAGCACAAUCUGCAGUUACACUAACAAAAAUGCUGCAAAAAACAAAGAAUUAUGGAAAAAUUACACAUGGACUGACAUAGAGGAGGAUCUACACAAGUUUUUUACAUCAUGUUUUACAUCAUGCAUCAUUUACAUCAUGUUUUUUUGUAGUGGCAUAAAUAAAAAGUGACAUUUGUGAGACUAUACAGUGUUUUGUAAAUAAUUUUACAAAGAACGCCUGGGCCAUUGCCUGCAUUUUGAUGUAAAUAGAGGUAAAUCACUAUGUUCUUUGUUAAAAAUUUGCAUAUGUUUUGAAGUUUACAAUUUUUAUUUGAAGUUUAAGUUUUAAAAACAGUUCAUCACACAUAUUUGUGGUUUAAUUUCACAUUAAUUUCCAUAUUGUAUAAAUGACUGGAAAAAACUUGAGCCCCUGCCCCUGUAUAAUCAUGUGCACGUCCCUGUUCUAGCUCCAAGGUGAAUCUUCACUGCUCAUGUUCUCCUCAGAAAUAGUCACCUCACUCUCCUCAGGUUACUGUACACAUGCACCAACUAUCUGCUUCAGGUUUGGAUGGAGCUUAAUGGUUGUCUUUUGGAGAAAUGAACAGUCAAGUUGUGUUUGAAAUCUGAUUUUUUUCAGGGGCAAAAGGAAGCCUCUGCAUUCUUGUCAAAUAUGUAAACAGCAUGUUUUUGCAGGUGCUAAAAAACAGACUCUGAGUGUGUGUGUGUGUGUGUGUGUGUGUGUGUGUGUGUGUGUGUGUGUGUGUGUAUGUGUGUGUGUAUCCUGCAGUACUCUGUACUCCUGCAGUGGCCAAAAAGACUUUUAAGAAUGUGGAUUUUUAGGUCAUCUUUGGCGCCCCCUAGAACUGCAUUACUCUGUACUCCUGCAGUGGCCAAAAUGACUUUUAAGAAUGUGGAUUUUUGGGUCAUCUUUGGCGCCCCCUACAACGUAAACCGUGGGGUGCAGCGUCAUGAUUUUUACAACUUUGAAUGGGCAUGGGGUGUAGAUUGGCCUGAGCAAAUUUGGUAUCGGUGGGACGAAAGCCUUAGGAGGAGAUAGCCACAUUCCAAUGUGUGCGAAUCAACCAAAAAUGCGAAAUAGCCCUUUAACCGUACAUUUUGCAGACACGUGCGCAUUGACUUUUUCGUAGAUCUUAUUGAGAUACACGUGAUUAUCAAAUUUUGUUUCAAUAUGACAAAGCGUACAGGCGUGACACUCAACAAUGUGUAUUUUCACCUUAUAGGACAAGAAAAAAUGGCCUUUUUUCUCCUGCCAUGGGGGGGCGCUCUUUUGGGGAGUAAAAAUUCCUUCACAAAUGUGUUGAUGGCUGGACAUUGCAUCAUCCUAGAAAACUUGGAGGCCAGUGAGGACAGAAAUAAAAAGUUAUAAGACUUGUAAGAAUGUGGAUUUUUGGGUUAUCUUUAGCGCCCCCUACAACGUAAACCGUGGGGUGCAGCGUCAUGAUUUGUACAACUUUGAAUGGCCAUGGGGUGUAGAUUGGCCUGAGCAAAUUUGGUGCCGGUGGAACGAAAGCCUUCGGAGGAGUUAGCGAAAUUCCAAUGUGUGCGGAUCGGCAAAAAAUGCGAAAUAGCCCUUUAAACGUACAUUUGACAGAUACGCCCGCACUGACUUUUUUGUAGAUCUUAUUGAGAUACACGUGUGUGUCAAAUUUUGUGUCAUUUUGACAAAGCGUACAGGCGUGACACUCAAUCAUGUGAAUUUUUCACCUUAGGGGGCGCUAUGGAGCCAUUUUGCAUUUGAUUGUUUGGGUGACUUCAGAAUAUCAAAUUUUUCACCAGGCCCGGUCGUCCUGCCAAAUUUCAUGAGUUUUCACCAGUGGGAAGUGGGCCAUUUUCCAGUUCAAAGGGGCAGAAAAAUAAUAAGAAGAAGAAGAAGAACUAGGGCCCCGUUGGGGCACUGGCGGGCCCGAGCCGUGUCACGCCGCCCCCAGCGCGACCGCCUCCCCCACCCGAUCGCGUCACACUCAAGGUCCAAAGAUGGUGUGCGCACUUGUUUGUGGUCAUUUACCAUUAUAAUGAACGGGAGGCGCAGUUUCUACCAAAACGCUCGCUGCAGAAAAACUCCAUGUCCUAUUUGAAAAAAGUCUGGACCAUGAGUGAGGGCACAAACACAGCUAAGAUAUAUUCAAAUGGCAAGUUGCUCCUCCUUUCGCUUUUGCCGAGAGAGCAGUGCGUUUGAGCCAUUGAAUGAUGAACAGGAAAAACUUGACUUUAUUCUCCUGCCAUGGGGGGGCGCUCUUUUAAAGAGAAAAAACUCCUUCACAAAUGUGUUGAUGGCUGGACAUUGCAUCAUCCUAGAAAACAUGGAGGCCAGUGAGGACAAAAAUAAAAAGUUAUAAGACUUUUAAAUAUGUGGAUUUUAGGGUUAUCUUUGGCGCCCCCUAGAACCUAAACCGUGGGGUGCAGCGUCAUGAUUUGAAUAACUUUUAAUGGCCAUGGGGUGUAGAUUGGCCUGAGCAAAUGUGGUGCCGGUGGAACGAAAGCCUUCGGAGGAAUUAGCGAAAUUCCAAUGUGUGCGAAUCUGCAAAAAAUGCAAAAUAACCCUUUAACCGUACAUUUUACAGAUACGUGGCCAUUGACUUUUUCGAAGAUCUUAUUGAAAUACACGUGUAUGUAAAAUUUUGUGUCAAUACGACAAAACAUACAGGCGUAGCACUCAACAAUGUGUAUUUUCACCUUAGUGGACAAGAAAAAAUUGACUUUUUUCUCCUGCCAUGGGGGGGCGCUCUUUUGGCGAGUAAAAAUUCCUUCACAAAUGUGUUGAUGGCUGGACAUUGCAUCAUCCUAGAAAACUUGGAGGCCAGUGGGGACAAAAAUAAAAAGUUAUAAGACUUUUAAAUAUGUGGAUUUUACGGUUAUCUUUGGCUCCCCCUAGAACCUAAACCGUGGGGUGCAGCGUCAUGAUUUGAAUAACUUUUAAUGGCCAUGGGGUGUAGAUUGGCCUGAGCAAAUGUGGUGCCGGUGGAACGAAAGCCUUCGGAGGAGUUAGCGAAAUUCCAAUGUGUGCGGAUCGGCAAAAAAUGCGGAAUAACCCUUUAACCUUACAUUUGACAGAUACGCGCGCAUUGACUUUUUCGUAGAUCGUAUUGAGAUACAUGUGUGUGUCAAUUUUUGUGUCAUUUUGCCAAAGCGUACAGGUGUUACACUCAACAAUGUGUAUUUUCACCUUAGGGGACAAGAAAAAAUGGACUUUUUUCUCCUGCCAUGGGGGGGCGCUCUUUUGGGGAGUAAAAAUUCCUUCACAAAUGUGUUGAUGGCUGGACAUUGCAUCAUCCUAGAAAACUUGGAGGCCAGUGAGGGCAAAAAUAAAAAGUUAUAAGACUUUUAAAUAUGUGGAUCUUAGGGUUAUCUUUGGCGCCCCCUAGAACCUAAACCGUGGGGUGCAGCGUCAUGAUUUGAAUAACUUUUAAUGGCCAUGGGGUGUAGAUUGGCCUGAGCAAAUGUGGUGCCGGUGGAACGAAAGCCUUCGGAGGAGUUAGCGAAAUUCCAAUGUGUGCGGAUCGGCAAAAAAUGCGAAAUAACCCUUUAACCGUACAUUUGACAGAUACGCCCGCACUGACUUUUUUGUAGAUCUUAUUGAGAUACAUGUGUGUGUCAAUUUUUGUGUCAUUUUGACAAAGCGUACAGGCGUGACAGUGAAUAGUGUGAAUUUUCACCUUAGGGGGCGCUAUGGAGCCAUUUUGCAUUUUCUUGUUUGGGCGACUUCGGAAUAUCAAAUUUUUCACCAGGCCCGGUCGUCCUGCCAAAUUUCAUGAGUUUUCGCCAGUGGGAAGUGGGCCAUUUUCCAGUUCAAAGGGGAGGAAAAAUAAUAACUAGGGCCCCGUUGGGGCACUGGCGGGCCCGAGCCGUGUCACGCCGCCCCCAGCGCGACCGCCUCCCCCACCCGAUCGCGUCACACUCAAGGUCCAAAGAUGGUGUGCGCACUUGUUUGUGGUCAUUUACCAUUAUAAUGAACGGGAGGCGCAGUUUCUACCAAAACGCUCGCUGCAGAAAAACUCCAUGUCCUAUUUGAAAAAAGUCUGGACCAUGAGUGAGGGCACAAACACAGCUAAGAUAUAUCCAAAUGGCAAGUUGCUCCUCCUUUCGCUUUUGCCGAAAGAGCAGUGCGUUUGAGCCAUUGAAUGAUGAACAGGAAAAACUUGACUUUAUUCUCCUGCCAUGGGGGGGCGCUCUUUUAAAGAGAAAAACUCCUUCACAAAUGUGUUGAUGGCUGGACAUUGCAUCAUCCUAGAAAACAUGGAGGCCAGUGAGGACAAAAAUAAAAAGUUAUAAGACUUUUAAAUAUGUGGAUUUUAGGGUUAUAUUUGGCGCCCCCUAGAACCUAAACCGUGGGGUGCAGCGUCAUGAUUUGAAUAACUUUUAAUGGCCAUGGGGUGUAGAUUGGCCUGAGCAAAUGUGGUGCCGGUGGAACGAAAGCCUUCGGAGGAAUUAGCGAAAUUCCAAUGUGUGCGAAUCUGCAAAAAAUGCGAAAUAACCCUUUAACCGUACAUUUUACAGAUACGUGGCCAUUGACUUUUUCGAAGAUCUUAUUGAAAUACACGUGUAUGUAAAAUUUUGUGUCAAUACGACAAAACAUAAAGGCGUAGCACUCAACAAUGUGUAUUUUCACCUUAGUGGACAAGAAAAAAUUGACUUUUUUCUCCUGCCAUGGGGGGGCGCUCUUUUGCCGAGUAAAAAUUCCUUCACAAAUGUGUUGAUGGCUGGACAUUGCAUCAUCCUAGAAAACUUGGAGGCCAGUGAGGGCAAAAAUAAAAAGUUAUAAGACUUUUAAAUAUGUGGAUCUUAGGGUUAUCUUUGGCUCCCCCUAGAACCUAAACCGUGGGGUGCAGCGUCAUGAUUUGAAUAACUUUUAAUGGCCAUGGGGUGUAGAUUGGCCUGAGCAAAUGUGGUGCCGGUGGAACGAAAGCCUUCGGAGGAGUUAGCGAAAUUCCAAUGUGUGCGGAUCGGCAAAAAAUGCGGAAUAACCCUUUAACCGUACAUUUGACAGAUACGCGCGCAUUGACUUUUUCGUA